UGCUGAUCAUCAGCUUGUGGGGUCCUUGGCAGCGGAAGAGGGAGAGUGGCCUCUUGUGGGGGGAGAUGUGGCCCCUGCUGCAGAUUCCCUCUCACCUGCCGACUCUGAUGGUCCUGCUUGGGAGAUAGCCUUGGGGGCAGGCAUAGAGCUAAAGCUAAGCACAAGGCUGGAGCGUAGCUGCUUCCCUUCAGUUCUGGAUCAGGUUUCCUCUUGGGGGGCAGGGGCAGUGCUGCUCCUCUGCCCCAUUUCCUCCCCCCCCCGGGGAAAAUUCAGUGGGAGGAGCUGGCUGAGGAGCAGGGUUUUUGGGGGGGGUUUGUAUGGGGGGGUUAUUGGUGCUGUCCCUCCCCUAGAGGAGCCCAUUGUGGAGGAGUCUGCCUGUGUCCUUAACAUCUGUCCCCGCAGUUGGUGCCAAGACUGAGAUUUCUGCUUCGCCAGUGGGGCAGGCUCUGUGAGUGGGGAUCUCUCAGACUGUUUGGGAGCAAUCAGGGCUCUGGGUCUAGCUGACCUAUGUGGGGGUGACCAUCUCCUUAGUCUGGGCGUUGAAGCUAUUAUGGUGACACCUCUCUUCCUCCUCCUGCCCUUGAUCCUGCCCUCCCCUGGAUGCGCCACUCAAACCUGGUCUCUGCCCAGUAAAUGACGGCGCAGGCCUUUCAGCCGUUGAGCCCGUUGUUUUAGCGGCAUUGGCUGGCACCAAGCAGUGAGGUGCCAGGCAUUCUGAGAUGUCCUCCUCUAAGGCGGAGCAGCUCGGUCCCAAGCCCGUUCAAGAUCUAGGGUCCAGGGCUUUCCAAGGGGAUUGGUGAUGCUGGAUUCAUGGGCUCUGGGCCUGUUGAGGUGGCACCAGCUCCCAGCCCUGAGCCCCUUUAACUCAGCACUUGGGGCAAGAAUGAAGGGUCUGUUAGUUCUGGUGAGCCUAGCAUAGUGGUGUUGCAGACACUGCAGCCCUGAGCGGGGUUCUAGACGUAUGCUCUCCAUCAAUGACCAGUAGCUGGACCAGGGGAGCAGUGCCGGGGACUGGAGGUAAUUAGACCCAGACAGGACCCCAGGAGUGAAGUCAACGCCUGCGAGGAAGAGUGAGCUUGCCUAGGAGUUGGGACUUAUAUAGGGGACCAAGGGGCAAGGGACUGGAAGAGACUACAGCCAAGCCCAGGCUGAGGGUCAACUAACUAGUGGCCACCACCAACAUCCUCAGAGGGAUUCUUGACGAUUGUGCCUUGGUGGGUGUUUGGCACAACUGGCACCCAGACAAUGCCACCUCCUUCAGCUUUGUCUGGGUGGAAUUGCGCCAAUAACAGUUGGACAGAAUUUACAUUUCAUGCUUUUAACAUGGGCCUGUUCCUCUGACAUUCGGCUGACCCCCUACUCAGACUAUCAUUUAGUUUUUGUGAAGGUUGCUCUUAUACCUAAGUGGUUGGGGCUGGCUUAUUGGCAUUUUAAUAACAGCCUGUUGGAUGAUGUGGGCUCUGUGGAGUCCUUGUAGGAAUUUUAGCUGACUUGGCAAGGGAAGUAGUAUGCCUUUCCCUCAGCAUGGACAAGCUCCAGGCCACUGAUGGCCAUUUGGCCCAUGGUACUUUUGUCUGGUUGUGUAUCCAACUCCUUCAGGAGGCGGAUCACAGCUCCCACUUCUGUGCCCUGGAGAAGAAGAUGGGUGCUAAAAAAUACCUGUUUUCUGUCAGAGGACAGUUCCUCUCUUACAGAUCUGGAGAAGAUGCAAGAAAGGGCUAGGGCUUUCUAUGCUGACCGUUUCUCCCUGGAUCUGAAGGCAGUGCUUGUGGGGUCCUGCCAGAUAAACUCCCAAUGGGAUACCAGGAAGGGAUCAGGAUGCCACAACAGGAUCAGGACCACAGCUGGAACCGGAACGGAAGAGGACAACAACCAGGAACACAACAGACUGGACGAUGAAGAUUAGGAACAGGAUCAGGACCACACUUGGGAACAGAACUGCCAGUUAAGUGCUAAAUCCAAGAUUUUUAUAGCAAACAUUGAUGUAAGAAGCAAGCAGGAUUCACUUUGGAAUUUCAGCUGAUCCAUCAAAUUCUGAACAGUAACACAACAGGCCAGGUGCAGUUCUUUGGAAAAAGAACCAAUCCCAAGUGUUCCAAAAUCAGGAAUCAAGCCUCCCAGAAUCAAGAUACUGGCUCAAAAUGCAUGAGAUAAACAAAACAAAAACAAAAAUUAAUAAUAUGUUGGGUUCUCUUUACUUGCCUUCCAGUGUCAGAGCCUUUCAGUCACACUCAAGUCACACUUUAAAACUUUUCUCUGAAAACCACAAGGGCUAGAAACUCACUUAAAAAAACCAAAGAAACAAAAAACCCCCAUACCAACCAAAAAACAAAACAAAAUCCCACCCCAAAACCAAAAAACUUAAAAACAACCCUGAGAUUCUCCCAUAGUCACAUGCUUCUAGGAGCUGUGGCUUUAAGAAAAUCGCCAGAUAAGUUGGCAGCACUGUAAUGUUUUUCUGCUUUUCUUUUGUGGAGAAACUGUUUUUUCUGAAGGCAAGCUGGUAUGCUUGUUAGACUUUGAGAGACAAGGUAGGCGAGCUAAUAUCUUUAUUGGCCCAGCUUCUGUUGGUCAAAGAGACAAGCGUUCGAGCUACACAGAGCUCUUUUUUAGGUCUCUGGAGGCUAGACAUUGAGUCCUUCCAGGGAGAGCCUGUCAGCAAAUUGGCUCAUUUAGCCACAACAGCCAGGUGCAUGGAGGGUAAAGAGGAGUUUUGUUCAAGGAAAGCCCUUGUAUUGUAAACAGGAUAAAAGGGGAUGGAAAGAACCACUUAUCACUGUCUAAUACAUCCCCAGGUCAUUCCUGUGCUAGCUCCUAGUGGAGGAAAAGGAUUUCAUGUUAACAGGUCUUGUUAACUCCAAGGCCAAAGGUUGGGAUUUUCUGAUUGUUGAGCAACCAACAGCCGUAAUGUGCCUUGAGAAGAGCUGCUCAAACUCUCCGUUAGCUCUGCAUUGCCCCCUAAUCAGAGCUGCAGCUAAAGUCUCAAUGGCACCCAUAAGGAAAUCCAACUCUUGGCAAAGUCACCUUUGUCUUGCUACUAUUUCAGGAUGUGUCCCCAAUCCACAGUCAGCAGAGCAUGGCAGGGGCAGAAGAGGCUUGUUCAUGCCCUGCCCGGCCUCGCCCCAUAGGAAUCUUUCUGAAGAGAAGAACUUGUUACUCUGUUAGGAUCAGACCCCAAUAAUAGGGCUGUUUUUCUAACCCCAGUCCCCAACACGCUGACAGCGAGACACGUAUAUGCACACACCCACACAGGCACUCUCUUGCACUCUCACCGUUCUCAGGGUUUCUAGGAGAUGAGCGUGCCUCCUUAAUACUAAUAACUGUGGAGCUUUGAAAACAAGGAAUGCCAAACCUCAGGGCAUGCUGAAGGAACGAGAAAUGUAGAUGAGUGCUUGAUAGAGACUCAUCACUCAAUCCAGCUCCAGGCUAUGGGACCUGCAUGUCCGAACUUUGACAGGCUCUCUUUUACAUAAGCCAGACCUCACAGAGCGCCUCACAGCACUUUGGGAGCAUUGGGGGAGGGAGCGAGUCAGAAAAAGAAAACAUGAGAAGAAAGUCAGAGGCUUAUCCAUCAAGAUCCUUCAAAUGCUGGGCAGCAUGCUGAUCUCAAACCCGCCUGAGCACUGACCUUUGUAAAGGUACAUGGCACCUCCUCCCUUCUCUGAAUGAAGCACAUUUCCUCAGUAAUGUGUCUGGGAGGUGGCAGUAAGAUUGGCUGCCAGCUAGGGCUGCCAUGCCCACCAGUUUGUAGGCAGUUUGCCAUCGUGCAAGAGACAGCAAAGGGGCGGGGCAUGGGUGG